UUUCCGUAGGUGAACCUGCGGAAGGAUCAUUAAAGAGUAAGGGUCUUCGGGCCCGAUCUCCAACCCUUUGUUUAACUACCAUGUUGCUUUGGCGGGCCCGUCUCACGACCGCCGGAAGUUUGGCUUCGACCAAACUUCUGGCUCGUGCCCGUCAGUGGCCCCUUCAAAUUCUUGAUCAAGUAUGAUGUCUUAGUUAAAAACUUAAUAGUUAAAACUUUCAGCAACGGAUCUCUUGGUUCUG
rnacentral:misc_RNA from 1 species